ACGAUGAAGAGUUUGAUCCUGGCUCAGGAUGAACGCUAGCGGCAGGCUUAACACAUGCAAGUCGAGGGGUAACGGGGAAGCUUGCUUCCGCCGACGACCGGCGCACGGGUGCGUAACGCGUAUACAAUCUACCUUAUACUGGGGUAUAGCCUUUAGAAAUGAAGAUUAACCCCCCAUAGUCUCUUAGAGUGGCAUCACUUCUAGAGUAAAGGUUACGGUAUAAGAUGAGUAUGCGUUCUAUUAGUUUGUUGGUGUGGUAACGGCACACCAAGACUACGAUAGAUAGGGGCCCUGAGAGGGGGAUCCCCCACACUGGUACUGAGACACGGACCAGACUCCUACGGGAGGCAGCAGUGAGGAAUAUUGGACAAUGGAGGCAACUCUGAUCCAGCCAUGCCGCGUGUAGGAUGACUGCCCUAUGGGUUGUAAACUACUUUUAUACAGGAAGAAACACCUCUACGUGUAGAGGCUUGACGGUACUGUAAGAAUAAGGAUCGGCUAACUCCGUGCCAGCAGCCGCGGUAAUACGGAGGAUCCAAGCGUUAUCCGGAAUCAUUGGGUUUAAAGGGUCCGUAGGUGGAUAAUUAAGUCAGAGGUGAAAUCUUGCAGCUCAACUGUAAAAUUGCCUUUGAUACUGGUUAUCUUGAGUUAUUAUGAAGUAGUUAGAAUAUGUAGUGUAGCGGUGAAAUGCAUAGAUAUUACAUAGAAUACCAAUUGCGAAGGCAGAUUACUAAUAAUCAACUGACACUGAUGGACGAAAGCGUGGGUAGCGAACAGGAUUAGAUACCCUGGUAGUCCACGCCGUAAACGAUGGUUACUAGCUGUUUGGACUUCGGUCUGAGUGGCUAAGCGAAAGUGAUAAGUAACCCACCUGGGGAGUACGUUCGCAAGAAUGAAACUCAAAGGAAUUGACGGGGGCCCGCACAAGCGGUGGAGCAUGUGGUUUAAUUCGAUGAUACGCGAGGAACCUUACCAGGGCUUAAAUGUAAGUUGCAUUAGUUAGAGAUAGCUAUUUCUUCGGACCACUUACAAGGUGCUGCAUGGUUGUCGUCAGCUCGUGCCGUGAGGUGUCAGGUUAAGUCCUAUAACGAGCGCAACCCCUGUUGUUAGUUGCCAGCGAGUCAUGUCGGGAACUCUAACAAGACUGCCAGUGCAAACUGUGAGGAAGGUGGGGAUGACGUCAAAUCAUCACGGCCCUUACGUCCUGGGCUACACACGUGCUACAAUGGUAGGGACAGAGAGCAGCCACUACGCGAGUAGGAGCGAAUCUAUAAACCCUAUCACAGUUCGGAUCGGAGUCUGCAACUCGACUCCGUGAAGCUGGAAUCGCUAGUAAUCGGAUAUCAGCCAUGAUCCGGUGAAUACGUUCCCGGGCCUUGUACACACCGCCCGUCAAGCCAUGGAAGUUGGAAGUGCCUGAAGUCCGUCACCGCAAGGAGCGGCCUAGGGUAAAGUCGAUAACUAGGGCUAAGUCGUAACAAGGUAGCCGUACCGGAAGGUGCGGCUGGAACACCUCCUUU
rnacentral:rRNA from 1 species